rnacentral:rRNA from 1 species
GACGUAGGGGGCAAGCGUUGUCCGGAUUUAUUGGGCGUAAAGAGCGUGUAGGCGGCUAGAUAGGUCCGUUGUGAAAACUCGAGGCUCAACCUCGAGACGCCGGUGGAAACCAUCUAGCUCGAGUCCGGGAGAGGUGAGUGGAACUGCGAGUGUAGAGGUGAAAUUCGUAGAUAUUCGCAAGAACACCAGUGGCGAAGGCGGCUCACUGGCCCGGUACUGACGCUGAGGUGCGAAAGCGUGGGGAGCAAACAGG